rnacentral:misc_RNA from 1 species
GGUGAAGAACGUAGCGAAAUGCGAUAAGUAAUGCGAAUUGCAGAAUUCCAGUGAGUCAUCGAAUCUUUGAACGCACAUUGCGCCCUUUGGUAUUCCGAAGGGCAUGCCUGUUCGAGCGUCAUUAUCACCCCUCAAGCCCUCGGCUUGGUGUUGGACGGUUUGGUGGAGGCCCCCUCGGGGGCUCCUGCCCCUCCCAAAGACAAUGACGGCGGCCUCGUUGGACCCCCGGUACACUGAGUUCUUCACGGGCCACGUAUCGGACACAUGGGUUUACGGGACACGGUCUGCCUCCCCUCAGGGAGAAUCUUUCUAAGGUUGACCUCGGAUCAGGUAGGGAUACCCGCUGAACUUAAGCAUAUCAAUAAGCGGAGGA